GACGAACGCUGGCGGCGUGCUUAACACAUGCAAGUCGAACGGUAAGGCCCUUCGGGGUACACGAGUGGCGAACGGGUGAGUAACGCGUGAGUAACCUGCCCUUGACUCUGGGAUAACAGAUGGAAACGUCUGCUAAUACCGGAUACUCAGCCUUGUGGGCAUCCGCAGGGUUGGAAAGCUCCGGCGGUCAAGGAUGGACUCGCGUCCUAUCAGCUAGUUGGUGGGGUAACGGCCUACCAAGGCGACGACGGGUAGCCGGCCUGAGAGGGCGACCGGCCACAUUGGGACUGAGAUACGGCCCAGACUCCUACGGGAGGCAGCAGUGGGGAAUAUUGCACAAUGGGCGAAAGCCUGAUGCAGCAACGCCGCGUGCGGGAUGACGGCCUUCGGGUUGUAAACCGCUUUCAGCAGGGACGAAGCGCAAGUGACGGUACCUGCAGAAGAAGCACCGGCUAACUACGUGCCAGCAGCCGCCGUAAUAC
rnacentral:rRNA from 1 species